GUGCAUUAGGAGUAGUAACCAUGCUUUCUCUCUCUCCCUUUUUUUUCUGUUUUCUUUGGAACCAAGCAAAAUGGAAUUUCAACGACAUAAGUUUCUCAUUAUUUCUCGAUAUGUAGGUUAAUCGAACACAUUAAACGGGGAGAGGUGGUCUUCGAAGCGAGAUUGAUCGAGCGGAAAUGAUCAAGAUUAAACUAUUUCUCUGUACAUAAAGCAACACAUAGAACAUAUCGUCAUCGAUGUAUGUAGCCAUACUAACAUAAGUUAUUACCAUAAACAACGAUUCUUGCGGUGUAGCUGCAACCAGUCACUGGUGCGGUAACGUGGGCGACAGAAAA
rnacentral:lncRNA from 1 species